UUUUCCCUACGGGACGCAGCAGUGGGGAAUAUUGCACAAUGGGGGAAACCCUGAUGCAGCGACGCCGCGUGAGUGAAGAAGUAUCUCGGUACGUAAAGCUCUAUCAGCAGGGAAGAAAAAAAGUCUUUGGCUUUGGACGGUACCUGACUAAGAAGCCCCGGCUAACUACGUGCCAGCAGCCGCGGUAAUACGUAGGGGGCAAGCGUUAUCCGGAUUUACUGGGUGUAAAGGGAGCGUAGACGGCAUGGCAAGUCUGAAGUGAAAGCCCGGGGCUCAACCGCGGGACUGCUUUGGAAACUGUUAAG
rnacentral:rRNA from 1 species